rnacentral:misc_RNA from 1 species
AACGCACGAGACCUGCGGACCUGCGGAAGGAUCAUUAACGCAUCUCUGACGGGGCGCGGUCCGCCCUGCUCCGACCCGCACGGGACGUGAGCGGGCGGCCGUCCCCGCUCAAACCUCACAAACCCACUGUGAACCUUCACGGCGGACGGGGACCGGUUUGCGCCGGACCCCCGAUGCCGCACACCAAACCCCAGUCUCAAAGAAUGUAUUGCGGACCUUGUGCCGCCUAAACACAUAACA